GGCCUCAUGGUCCAGAGGUAUGAUACUUGCUUUGGGCUGCGGUGAUGUGAGCAACUGCAAGUGUUCUAGGUUAGAUUUCCGGUGAGGCCC